CUUCUUUGUCGAUGGAUCCUACUUCACUUUCGUCUUUGUUUCUCGUUUUCCUUUUUCGGAUUUGGAAGAGAUCGGCGGAGGUGUUUCAUGAGAUGUGAUGAUCCUUUCCCCAAAUGAUCGACGAUGAAUACACUGCGCGUGUUUCUUUAUCUACCCCUCAUUUUUGAGGAGGAAGAUUCAAGCCAGCGAUUCUGAUCUCCAUCCCUCCAUCGUCUUCCUCCCUUUCUUGUUUUUUAGAUUCUCUGAUUUUUUUAUGCUUGUCAGCCGUUGUUGAUGCAUUAAUGGUCGUGGCGAGAUGAUGAUCCUUUCCCCAGAUGAUCGACUAUGAACAUACUGUGCGCUAUUGUUUUCUCCUUCAAGGAGAAGAUCAAGCCAGGUUUCUGAUCUCCGCGAUUGCCAACCAAUCCAAUGGCUGGCAUGGUGCAAUCGUUGAUCUCCUUUCCGAUGGCCAUUAGGGUUUCUCGUUUCCUUUCUAUAAGUAGCUCGCCUCCUCGUUUAAAGUUAAGGUUCCUCUUUCUUCGCGGAGGCUUCGUAGUCGAGAUCUCUAGAUUUCAUGAUCUUUUCGGCGUUAGAUUCUUAGCGUUUGUGUUCAUGUCUGUUGAUAAAUCCAUGAUUGGUUUCUUUCUUCUUUUUGUUUCAUUUUCUUUUCCGAUUUGGAAGAGAAUGAUGGAGGUGUUCUACGGGAUGUGAUGAUCCUUUCCCCAAAUGAUCGACGGUGAAUACACUGUGCAUUUUUCUUUGUCUCCUCAGAUUGGAGGAGGAAGAUUCAAGCCAGCGGUUCUGAUCUCCAUCCUUCCAUCUUCUGUUUUCCUUUUUUUAGUUUUGUUGAUUUCUGAUGCUUUGUUGCCGUUGAUGAUACAUCAAUGGUCGCGGCGAGAUGAUGAGCCUUUCCCCAGAUGAUCGACUAUGA
rnacentral:lncRNA from 1 species